rnacentral:rRNA from 1 species
UGGGGAAUAUUGCACAAUGGGCGCAAGCCUGAUGCAGCCAUGUCGCGUGUAUGAAGAAGGCCUUCGGGUUGUAAAGUACUUUCAGCGAGGAGGAAGGCGUUGUGGUUAAUAACCGCAGCGAUUGACGUUACUCGCAGAAGAAGCACCGGCUAACUCCGUGCCAGCAGCCGCGGUAAUACGGAGGGUGCAAGCGUUAAUCGGAAUUACUGGGCGUAAAGCACACGCAGGCGGUCUGUCAAGUCGGAUGUGAAAUCCCCGGGCUCAACCUGGGAACUGCAUCCGAAACUGGCAGGCUAGAGUCUUGUAGAGGGGGGUAGAAUUCCAGGUGUAGCGGUGAAAUGCGUAGAGAUCUGGAGGAAUACCGGUGGCGAAGGCGGCCCCCUGGACAAAGACUGACGCUCAGGUGCGAAAGCGUGGGGAGCAAACA